UCUAGGCCCCGUCAGGAGCCCGAGUUGUAAUUUGGAGAGGACACUUCGGGCUGGGAAUUGCCCUUCAGUAACGGCGAGUGAAGCGGCAAAAAGCUCAAAUUUGAAAUCUGGCCCCGUCAGGAGCCCGAGUUGUAAUUUGGAGAGGACACUUCGGGUGUGGCCGCGGCGUAAGUCCCUUGGAACAGGGCGUCAUAGAGGGUGAGAAUCCCGUCUUGCGCCGCCGGACCACGCCCAUGCGAAGUUCCUUCGACGAGUCGAGUUGUUUGGGAAUGCAGCUCUAAGUGGGUGGUAAAUUUCAUCUAAAGCUAAAUAUUGGCCAGAGACCGAUAGCGAACAAGUAGAGUGAUCGAAAGGUUAAAAGCACCUUGAAAAGGGAGUUAAAUAGCACGUGAAAUUGUUGAAAGGGAAGCGCUUGCAACCAGACUCGGUCGCGGGGGCUCAGCGGGUAUGCUUGCCCGUGUACUCCCCCGCGUUCGGGCCAGCAUCGGUUCCGGCGGUUGGUCAAAGGCCCCUGGAAUGUGUCGUCCUCCGGGACGUCUUAUAGCCAGGGGCGCAAUGCUGCCA
rnacentral:rRNA from 1 species